rnacentral:tRNA from 1 species
UGGCUCGAUGGUAGAGUGCUUGCCUUGCAAGCAUGAGGCCUUGGGUUCGAUUCCUUA